rnacentral:rRNA from 1 species
UUUAAAGCNCCAGUAGAGUUUGAUCCUGGCUCAGGAUGAACGCUGGCGGUAUGCUUAACACAUGCAAGUCGAACGGGAUGCUUAGGCAUCUAGUGGCGGACGGGUGAGUAACGCGUGAGAAUCUGGCUCCAGGUCGGGGAUAACAGUUGGAAACGACUGCUAAUACCGGAUGUGCCGAGAGGUGAAAGAUUUAUUGCCUGGAGAUGAGCUCGCGUCUGAUUAGCUAGUUGGUGGUGUAAGGGACCACCAAGGCGUCGAUCAGUAGCUGGUCUGAGAGGAUGAUCAGCCACACUGGGACUGAGACACGGCCCAGACUCCUACGGGAGGCAGCAGUGGGGAAUUUUCCGCAAUGGGCGAAAGCCUGACGGAGCAAUACCGCGUGAGGGAGGAAGGCUCUUGGGUCGUAAACCUCUUUUCUCAAGGAAGAAGAAAGUGACGGUACUUGAGGAAUAAGCAUCGGCUAACUCCGUGCCAGCAGCCGCGGUAAUACGAGGAUGCAAGCGUUAUCCGGAAUGAUUGGGCGUAAAGGGUCUGCAGGUGGAACUGAAAGUCUGCUGUUAAAGAGUUUGGCUUAACCAAAUAAAAGCGGUGGAAACUACAGAACUAGAGUGCGGUAGGGGCAAAAGGAAUUCCUGGUGUAGCGGUGAAAUGCGUAGAUAUCAGGAAGAACACCGGUGGCGAAAGCGUUUUGCUAGACCGUAACUGACACUGAGGGACGAAAGCUAGGGGAGCGAAUGGGAUUAGAUACCCCAGUAGUCCUAGCCGUAAACGAUGGAUACUAGGCGUGGCUUGUAUCGACCCGAGCCGUGCCGGAGCUAACGCGUUAAGUAUCCCGCCUGGGGAGUACGCACGCAAGUGUGAAACUCAAAGGAAUUGACGGGGGCCCGCACAAGCGGUGGAGUAUGUGGUUUAAUUCGAUGCAACGCGAAGAACCUUACCAAGACUUGACAUCCUGCGAAUCCCGGUGAAAGCUGGGAGUGCCUUAGGGAGCGCAGAGACAGGUGGUGCAUGGCUGUCGUCAGCUCGUGUCGUGAGAUGUUGGGUUAAGUCCCGCAACGAGCGCAACCCUCGUUUUUAGUUGCCAGCAUUAAGUUGGGCACUCUAGAGAGACUGCCGGUGACAAACCGGAGGAAGGUGAGGAUGACGUCAAGUCAGCAUGCCCCUUACGUCUUGGGCUACACACGUACUACAAUGCUACGGACAGAGGGCAGCAAGCCAGGGAUGGCAAGCGAAUCCAGAAACCGUAGCUCAGUUCAGAUCGAAGGCUGCAACUCGCCUUCGUGAAGGAGGAAUCGCUAGUAAUUGCAGGUCAGCAUACUGCAGUGAAUUCGUUCCCGGGCCUUGUACACACCGCCCGUCACACCAUGGAAGUUGGUCACGCCCGAAGUCAUUACCCCAACCGAAAGGAGGGGGAUGCCUAAGGUAGGACUGGUGACUGGGGUGA